rnacentral:tmRNA from 1 species
GGGGGUGACUUGGUUUCGACGGGUUUAGCGAGGGAUCGUUGGCGUGUCGGGGUUGUCUGGGGCCCCGUCAACAAACCGGGCAAAUCGACAAUUGGCAACUCGUAUGCCAUGGCUGCCUAAUUAAGGCAACCCGUUGUACCCAGGGCUUUGUCUUCGAGUCCGGGCUACAGCGUCGAUAAAAGAAGACUCGGCUUUUCAAUGUCUAUAAGAUAAGCCUAAACUAAAUAGACUGGCCCUGUCAGUGGUCUGUCGGUCGACAGCGGGCAGGGCGAGAAUAUAAAGACCUGACUACACACGUAGAAGACGGUUCGGCGUUAUAUUCGGACGGGGGUUCGAUUCCCCCCACCUCCACCA